GUGGACUGUUCCAGUCAUGUAUAUAUUUAUCAUUUCGCUGUAACGUCAGCUGUGACCGGUACAUGAGGUAACAUUUUCUGCGUUUUUUCACGACCCACGCGGCCACGGAGGACAGAACUCUGCGACAAAAAUGCCGGUCAAUAUAAAAAUCAUCUACUGAGGGGGAUGAGGAUACGCCCCCAAGUUCCGUAAAAUCAAGACGGAGCUUGAGGAUAUCUUCCAGGAUGACGUUAAGAUAGUAGGUGAGGGCACCCCUACCAUCACUGGGUGGUUGGAGGUACAGGUUGUCGGUGGUCCGCUGCUGCACUCCAAGAAGAACGGAGAUGGAUAUGUGGACAGCAAGCAGAAGAUGGACCGUAUUGUCCAGGGGAUCGAGGCUGAGCUGAAGAAAUAAAGGUGGACAUUCUGCCUCUGCUGCUGAUCCCCACCCCAGAAAGGUGUCCGUUGACUUGUUCAUGUGUGGUGAGUCCUGCCGAUGACGGGGCGGCCUGAAACGGAACCCUCCAGGGGCCUGCUCCUGACCAACCUCAGGAACACCACCCUGACCAAGUCCACUCCACACCUCUCUGGGUUUUAUUGUACUCCUGAUGGUAGCAAUUUUCUCUCCAAGUGACUUCUCUGGGAUAUGUAGUGUACUAGUAUAAUGUUUUACCACUGAAGCUCUGCUCUUUUGCAGUUCUGUGUGCCUAUAUUUAAUACUUUCACUGCGUGGGAUUUGAAAAUUAGUUUAGUAGGGUGACAUACCCAAAAAUUUUACUGUCGGUGACGUAAGGUGUCAAUAGUAUUACCAAGAACUGUGUAGAUGUAGUGGGUCCAAAAGUUGUGAUUGUAGCUACCUCCACAACGCUGUUGGUACUUAAAGGUUAUUUAACUUAUUCCUAAGACAAACUCACACAGAUGCAUUGAGAUGUUAAAAAGUACGGGUAGAGGAGAAUAUGUUGUUAUCAUCUUUAUGUGUGGCAAGCAUGUACAAAUCAAACAUCCUCAAUAUCAUUCUCGAUAUACAGACUUCAAGUCAGUGCAAAGUAUGGACACAGAUUGAUACUACGUCUAAUAAUGUACCAUUUCUGUGUAGGUGUAAAUUGUACCAGCUUUGUCCGUACUUGAUGUGUAGAGUUGAGUGUAAGCACUAUUGUACAAUCUUGCUGUUGGACACAAUUGUGUGAGUUUCCAUUCAAACACGUCUUCCACCUAAAGUAACUUCUACAAUGCCUUUGUACUGUUCAUAUCACACGUGUACGUGAUUUUUCACAGUUCUCAGGUGUUGCGAUACAUGUAUUACCAUAUAUCUUUGAGGAUGUAAUCUGUAAUGAUUCUUCUUUAUUUCAAACUAUAGCAGUGAGGAAAAUUUCAAUCUGUCACUAUACAACUGAAGAUAAACCUGCCAGCAGGAACAUGUGUGCACACUG